rnacentral:rRNA from 1 species
AGAGUUUGAUCAUGGCUCAGGAUUAACGCUGGCGGCAUGCCUAAUACAUGCAAGUCGAACGAGAGUAGCAAUACUCUAGUGGCGAACGGGUGAGUAACACGUGGGUAACCUACCAUUAAGUCGAGGAUAACUACUGGAAACGGUAGCUAAAACUGGAUAGUAUAAUUUGAGGCAUCUCGAAUUAUUUAAAAGUCCUUAUGGGAAUGCUUAAUGAUGGGCCCGCGGCGCAUUAGCUAGUUGGUGGGGUAACGGCCUACCAAGGCGACGAUGCGUAGCUGUGCUGAGAGGCAGAACAGCCACACUGGGACUGAGACACGGCCCAGACUCCUACGGGAGGCAGCAGUAGGGAAUUUUCGGCAAUGGGCGAAAGCCUGACCGAGCAAUGCCGCGUGAACGAAGAAGGUCUUCGGACUGUAAAGUUCUGUUAUAGAGGAAGAAAGAUAUAUAGAGGAAAUGCUAUAUAUUUGACGGUACUUUAUGAGGAAGCCCCGGCUAACUAUGUGCCAGCAGCCGCGGUAAUACAUAGGGGGCAAGCGUUAUCCGGAAUUAUUGGGCGUAAAGGGUGCGUAGGCGGCUGAUUAAGUCUGGUGUGAAAUUUCACGGCUUAACCGUGAAGGGUCAUUGGAAACUGAUUGGCUUGAAUACAGAAGAGGUAAGUGGAAUUCCAUGUGUAGCGGUAAAAUGCUUAGAUAUAUGGAGGAACACCAGUGGCGAAGGCGGCUUACUGGUCUGUCAUUGACGCUGAUGCACGAAAGCGUGGGUAGCAAACAGGAUUAGAUACCCUGGUAGUCCACGCCGCAAACGAUGAGCACUAAGUGUCGGGCGAGAGCUCGGUGCUGAAGUUAACGCAUUAAGUGCUCCGCCUGGGGAGUACGGUCGCAAGACUGAAACUCAAAGGAAUUGACGG